CCGCAUACUCCUAGUGAUUGGAGUUUGAUCCUGCCGGAGGUCAGUGCUAUCGGGGUUCGAUUAUUCCCUGCGAGUCGAGAGGGUUCAGACCCUCGGCGGACUGCUCAGUAACACGUGGAUAAUCUGCCCUAUGGUGGAGGAUAACCCCGGGAAACUGGGGAUAAUACUCCAUAAGUCAGGAGUACUGGAAUGUCUCCUAACUGAAAGUUUCGGCGCCAUAGGAUGAAUCUGCGGCCGAUUACGUAGUUGUUGGGGUAACGGCCCAACAAUCCCCUUCUCGGUACCGGUUGUGGGAACAAGAGCCCGGAUAUGGAAUCUGUCACACAAUUCCAGGCCUUACGGGGCGCAACACGCCCUCAUACUAUUCAAUGCCUGACCUUGCGAUAAGGCGACACCUAGCUGCCCGUACACACCGGACUGUCCCCGCGAUUUAAUAAACAUAUCAACACAGCGCCUGGACACUCCCGUAUCUGCCCCCACUUCAACCCCGCCUGCAUGAGAUGUGACCCAUUUUAUCGCGACUAUAUCGUCAAAUCAAUAUUUAUAUUCCUUUAUAUAACACUCAGUGAUUUACUCUCAGCGCACAAAACUCCUGGAUCACCUCUGCUGCAUUUGUUCCAUUCUUCUUAUCGGAAUAUAUAAAUUUAUAUAAUUGAAAGAUAACAUAAAUCCAACGUUUAAUAACU
rnacentral:rRNA from 1 species